GUGUGUGUGUGUGCGUGCGUGUGCACAUGAGUGCAGGCGCCUGUGGAGGCUAGAAGCACCAGAGUCCCCUGGAACUGGAGUUAUAGGCUACUUAACAUGGGUUCUAUGACCUGAACUCACAGCCUCCAAGAGCAGUGUGCACUGUUUAACGGCCUAUCACCCCUCCCCCACACUGUACAGACCAAUGAAGAGCUUCCCCAUGGUUACAAGGGAAGGCAGAAUUUCUAUGCUGCCUGAAAAGCCUUUUCCCAGGCCUCCCUGCCCUCCAUUCCUUUGAUAAGACAGGUAUCAGACACUUUUUGAGCUUAGCUACACAGUUCCCAGGAGAAUGUCUAGACCUAUGCUUAUUUUGCAACAGAGAAUAAUGACAGGAAAGGGAGGCAGCCCCCAUAAAGGGAGUUCUGCUUUAAAGACAGAAAUGAGAAUCAUGUACUUUGAAUCUGCGUGUCCAUGGCUGCUGAAGUGUUCCAAGUAAUGGUCCUUGGAUAUUCUGGAUCCUUCUCCAACAUCCGCCAAAUGGCUUGCUGAAAGACCAGGAAUGGAACCAGAUGCUGGACACAGUUGAUACACAGUAAAUAAAUGGACUCUGACACCUUGGCUCUUGCUGUUUCUGAAGAGACUUCCCCUCAAAGGGUUAACUAACUCCUGAAGAUAAUGAAGGACUCAUCUGCAAGGAGACCUUUCAUACACAAGCCACUGUCCACACUGUCAAUACCUCCUUUGAUAAGCUCUUACACUUGGGCACCCUUUACUUGUGCCAAUUCUGUAGGGUCCCUAAGUCCCACAGUCCCAAGAAGUUAUUUAAGCUAGACAUUCCUAAACCUCUUCAUGUGGCCUGGCCCAUCCUUCUCCUGGAGAAACCACAGUACAGGCUCUCUCCACGCUUCUCCUCUCUUCCCACCUUCUGGCCCACCCCAGAGCUUCCCCAUGUAGCAUGUAGCCCUGCAAGGGCUAUACCAUGGCUUUGCAGGCAGCUGUGAGUACAGAUAUUUUCACUUCACAAUGGCCACUUCUGCACCUGUGUGUUAUACCACGACUGAUGAAAAUACAUUUCAGGUACAUUUUCAAAUGUAGUGUCCAAAUACCACUUUCUUCAAAUCUCUAGAACAUCGGCGUCCUUGCAGGGAUCCUGCCCUUUAAGCAGAGAAGCCUCAGGGAAAGCUGCUCUGUUAGUCACUUCCCAGCAAGCUGUCUGGCGCUCGGUAGACCAGGUUAUAUUAGGCAGGAUCCAAAUUUUCCAUUAUUCCUGCCCUGUUUCCACCCACCCUCUGACUCUUUGUUUUGGAACAGGCACAAAUAAGAGUGAAGACUUUCCUACCUAAAUAAACUCUUGGGUCUUCUAAAUUUAUUCUUGAGUCUUUUUC
rnacentral:lncRNA from 1 species